rnacentral:lncRNA from 1 species
CCAGAGAGGGCACAUGUGCCUCAAUUGGCCUAUAGCAUAGUGGCUCAUUAUCCUUCCACCGCUGGUGGCGGGCGGUACUCGCUGCUCUGUGAAGCCAGCCUCACGCAAUGUCCGCCACUUUAGGUGUUGGGAUGCAAAGGCUUUCGCCAAGGCAUCCGAAACCCACUACACAACUUGGAAUGGGUGGUCCACAGUUUGUAGCAAUAGACCCAGGCACAUGCACCACAAUUGACAUUCACACUACCUUAUUGCCCCCGCUCGGGUUACAAGCAAUCGCUACUUGCUCAGCGAGUGAGGGGGUUCAAGACUACCUAUUUAAGGUGGUGUUGUACUGUAUGAGCCGGCGGUGUGGUAUUUACCAACUACAAAUAGUGUCAUGCAUGUGACUUGCUAGUUGACAAUGUCUAUUGUCGAGCUAGAUGUGGGCUAUAGAUGAAGCACAUUAGGAUAUAGUAGGCCUAUUUUGUUUUUUGUUGUUUUUGGGCCACUAUGGACUUUAUGUUGAUGUUGUGAAAUUUUUUCUUGUGUUUCCUCUUCCUACGAUGUGGAAAGUGGGUGCUUCAGAGAAGAAAGAAAGAGUGGCUAGCAUUGAUUUUACGUCAUACCAUUGAGAACACUAAUCAGAAGCAGAAGCAACAAUAUUUCAUACAUAUACAACACUUGUAAUCCAUAUAAACAACUUUCCUUUCAAAUAUAAUAUAAACCACAUGAUUUAUAUCCUGGGUCGGCUAUCUCCACAAAGGGCAAGAAAACGCUCCAAGUUUGUAGUAUAGCACUAAAAGUGUCGACUCUCACGAUUUCUUCCCGACAUAUGCAAACUAGACAGUAAUCACAUAAAAUAAAGAAAUAUGUGUUAACACAAACUUAUAGCAUGUAUUUCAACAUAUAGAUUUUUGAUUAUUAUGGUAGAUUAUAUAAUAUAGGGGUUCCCGAAAAAAUACAUAAAAAACAAGAGCAUUAAAAUUUCCUUUUCAGAUCUGGCUAACUGGUAAAGGGAGUUGGAGUAUCUGAGUUUCCAAAUUUGGGACGUCGCUCUAUAGAAGGAAUAUAAAUACAUUGGAAAAAAUUCUACAAGGAAAGGUUUAAUACAAGUAGCGCUAAGAAAAACUCAAUGAGGCUUUGGUCGCUUGGUCACAAAACUUGAGACAAGAAACACGAAGACACCAAGGUAAUUAGUAUGAGAGUUUUCCAAAUUUGGUGUCUUGAUGUAGAAAAAAUAAAUAUAUGACAAACUUGUUUUUUCGCAAGGCAUGGAUAAAUAAGUGGGGGUGAGCAAUAAAUUUCAUCCUAGAUUUAGAAGGAAUAAAUAUAUCACUAAAUACGUUUUUUCACAAUGCCAAGUUAAUCAGGUGGGAGCGAGAAACAAUUCUAGCGAGGCUAGGUUGUACUAGCCCAAAACUACAUACAACAGAGGAAAAAUAAAGAAAAUGAUGGUCUACCAAAUAGGGCGCAUGAGCCUUAAGGUGCACCUAGAGGGAAGUAGAAGAAAUAAAUAUAUAAUAGCAUAUGUUUUUCGCAAUGCAAGGUAAAGUGUAGAUGUGCUCUAACUGGGCUUAGAUUGCAGCGACACAUUAUGCAUCUACAAGGCUUGGUUGCACAUGGAAAAAGAUAGAGAGAGAAAUGUAGACGCAGGACCGGGAGAAAAACAUUCAAUGAGACGUGAUUGCACGGACAUAGAACUAGAUAUAAGACAAGAGUUAAAGAAAAAUAAAGGAACUAAAUUUUCUUCUGCACACUAAGCAUGAAUGGAGUUGUAGUAUCUGAGAUCAAAAUUUAAUUUAUUCCAAGAUGCAGAACAAAAACGUGAUACUCGUAAUGGUUACAUAGGAACAAAAGUAGAUAAGAAAAAUAGCAAAAAGAUAGUGGUCUACCAGAGAGGGCACAUGUGCCUCAAUUGGCCUAUAGCAUAGCGACUCAUUAUCCUUCCACCGCUGGUGGCGGGCGGUACUCGCUGCUCUGUGAAGCCAGCCUCACGCAAUGUCCGCCACUUUAGGUGUUGGGAUGCAAAGGCUUUCGCCAAGGCAUCCGAAACCCACUACACAACUUGGAAUGGGUGGUCCACAGUUUGUAGCACUAGACCCAGGCACAUGCACCACAAUUGACAUCCACACUACCUUAUUGCCCCCGCUCGGGUUACAAGCAAUCGCUACUUGCUCAGCGAGUGAGGGGGUUCAAGACUACCUAUUUAAGGUGGUGUUGUACUCUAUGAGCCGGCGGUGUGGUAUUUACCAACUACAAAUAGUGUCAUGCAUGUGACUUGCUAGUUGACAAUGUCUGUUGUCAAGCUAGGUGUGGGCUAUGGAUGAAGCACAUUAGGAUAUAGUAGGCCUAUUUUGUUUUUUGUUGUUUUUGGGCCACUAUGGACUGUAUGUUGAUGUUGUGAAAUUUUUUUCUUGUGUUUCCUCUUCCUACGAUGUGGAAAGUGGGUGCGUCAGAGAAGAAAGAAAGAGUGGCUAGCAUUGAUUUUACGUCAUACCAUUGAGAACACUAAUCAGAAGCAGAAGCAACAAUAUUUCAUACAUAUACAACACUUGUAAUCCAUAUAAACAACAUUCCUUUAAAAUAUAAUAUAAACCACAUGAUUUAUAUCCUGGGUCGGCUAUCUCCACAAAGGGCAAGAAAACGCUCCAAGUUUGUAGUAUAGCACUAAAAGUGUCGAUUCUCACGAUUUCUUCCCGACAUAUACAAACUAGACAGUAAUCACAUAAAAUAAAGAAAUAUGUGUUAACACGAACUUAUAACAUGUAUUUCAACAUAUAGAUUGUUGAUUAUUAUGGUAGAUUAUAUAAAAUAGGGGUUCCCGAAGAAAUACAUAAAAACAAGAGCAUUAAAAUUUCCUUUUCAGAUCUGGCUAUCUGGUAAAAGGAGUUGGAGUAACUGAGUUUCCAAAUUUGUGACGUAGCUCUAUAGAAGGAAUAUAAAUACGUUGGAAAAAUUCUAUAAGGAAAGGUUUAAUACAAGUAGGGCUAAGAAAAACUCAAUGAGGCUUUGGUCGCAUGGUCACAAAACUUGAGACAAGAAACACGAAGACACCAAGGUAAUUAGUAUGAGAGUUUUCCAAAUUUGGUGUCUUGAUGUAGAAAAAAUAAAUAUAUGACAAACUUGUUUUUUCGCAAGGCAUGGAUAAAUAAGUGGGGGUGAGCAAUAAAUUUCAUCCUAGAUUUAGAAGGAAUAAAUAUAUCACUAAAUAUGUUUUUUCACAAUGCCAAGUUAAUCAGGUGGGAGCGAGAAACAAUUCUAGCGAGGCUAGGUUGUACUAGCCCAAAACUACAUACAACAGAGGAAAAAUGAAGAAAAUGAUGGUCUACCAAAUAUGGCGCAUGAGCCUUAAGGUGCACCUAGAGGGAAGUAGAAGAAAUAAAUAUAUAAUAGCAUAUGUUUUUCGCAAUGCAAGGUAAAGUGUAGAUGUGCUCUAACUGGGCUUAGAUUGCAGCGACACAUUAUGCAUCUACAAGGCUUGGUUGCACAUGGAAAAAGAUAGAGAGAGAAAUGUAGACGCAGGACCGGGAGAAAAACAUUCAACGAGACGUGAUUGCACGGACAUAGAACUAGAUAUAAGACAAGAGUUAAAGAAAAAUAAAGGAACUAAAUUUUCUUCUGCACACUAAGCAUGAAUGGAGUUGUAGUAUCUGAGAUCAAAAUUUAAUUUAUUCCAAGAUGCAGAACAAAAACGUGAUACUCGUAAUGGUUACAUAGGAACAUAAGUAGAUAAGAAAAAUAGCAAAAAGAUAGUGGUCUACCAGAGAGGGCACAUGUGCCUCAAUUGGCCUAUAGCAUAGCGACUCAUUAUCCUUCCACCGCUGGUGGCGGGCGGUACUCGCUGCUCUGUGAAGCCAGCCUCACGCAAUGUCUGCCACUUUAGGUGUUGGGAUGCAAAGGCUUUCGCCAAGGCAUCCGAAACCCACUACACAACUUGGAAUGGGUGGUCCACAGUUGGUAGCACUAGACCCAGGCACAUGCACCACAAUUGACAUCCACACUACCUUAUUGCCCCCGCUCGGGUUACAAGCAAUCGCUACUUGCUCAGCGAGUGAGGGGGUUCAAGACUACCUAUUUAAGGUGGUGUUGUACUCUAUGAGCCGGUGGUGUGGUAUUUACCAACUACAAAUAGUGUCAUGCAUGUGACUUGCUAGUUGACAAUGUCUGUUGUCAAGCUAGGUGUGGGCUAUGGAUGAAGCACAUUAGGAUAUAGUAGGCCUAUUUUGUUUUUUGUUGUUUUUGGGCCACUAUGGACUUUAUGUUGAUGUUGUGAAUUUUUUUUCUUGUGUUUCCUCUUCCUACAAUGUGGAAAGUGGGUGCGUCAGAGAAGAAAGAAAGAGUGGCUAGCAUUGAUUUUACGUCAUACCAUUGAGAACACUAAUCAGAAGCAGAAGCAACAAUAUUUCAUACAUAUACAACACUUGUAAUCCAUAUAAACAACAUUCCUUUAAAAUAUAAUAUAAACCACAUGAUUUAUAUCCUGGGUCGGCUAUCUCCACAAAGGGCAAGAAAACGCUCCAAGUUUGUAGUAUAGCACUAAAAGUGUCGAUUCUCACGAUUUCUUCCCGACAUAUACAAACUAGACAGUAAUCACAUAAAAUAAAGAAAUAUGUGUUAACACGAACUUAUAGCAUGUAUUUCAACAUAUAGAUUGUUGAUUAUUAUGGUAGAUUAUAUAAAAUAGGGGUUCCCGAAGAAAUACAUAAAAACAAGAGCAUUAAAAUUUCCUUUUCAGAUCUGGCUAUCUGGUAAAAGGAGUUGGAGUAACUGAGUUUCCAAAUUUGUGACGUAGCUCUAUAGAAGGAAUAUAAAUACGUUGGAAAAAUUCUAUAAGGAAAGGUUUAAUACAAGUAGGGCUAAGAAAAACUCAAUGAGGCUUUGGUCGCAUGGUCACAAAACUUGAGACAAGAAACACGAAGACACCAAGGUAAUUAGUAUGAGAGUUUUCCAAAUUUGGUGUCUUGAUGUAGAAAAAAUAAAUAUAUGACAAACUUGUUUUUCGCAAGGCAUGGAUAAAUAAGUGGGGGUGAGCAAUAAAUUUCAUCCUAGAUUUAGAAGGAAUAAAUAUAUCACUUAAUAUGUUUUUUCACAAUGCCAAGUUAAUCAGGUGGGAGCGAGAAACAAUUCUAGCGAGGCUAGGUUGUACUAGCCCAAAACUACAUACAACAGAGGAAAAAUGAAGAAAAUGAUGGUCUACCAAAUAUGGUGCAUGAGCCUUAAGGUGCACCUAGAGGGAAGUAGAAGAAAUAAAUAUAUAAUAGCAUAUGUUUUUCGCAAUGCAAGGUAAAGUGUAGAUGUGCUCUAACUGGGCUUAGAUUGCAGCGACACAUUAUGCAUCUACAAGGCUUGGUUGCACAUGGAAAAAGAUAGAGAGAGAAAUGUAGACGCAAGACCGGGAGAAAAACAUUCAAUGAGACGUGAUUGCACGGACAUAGAACUAGAUAAAAGACAAGAGUUAAAGAAAAAUAAAGGAACUAAAUUUUCUUCUGCACACUAAGCAUGAAUGGAGUUGUAGUAUCUGAGAUCAAAAUUUAAUUUAUUCCAAGAUGCAGAACAAAAACGUGAUACUCGUAAUGGUUACAUAGGAACAUAAGUAGAUAAGAAAAAUAGCAAAAAGAUAGUGGUCUACCAGAGAGGGCACAUGUGCCUCAAUUGGCCUAUAGCAUAGCGACUCAUUAUCCUUCCACCGCUGGUGGCGGGCGGUACUCGCUGCUCUGUGAAGCCAGCCUCACGCAAUGUCCGCCACUUUAGGUGUUGGGAUGCAAAGGCUUUUGCCAAGGCAUCCGAAACCCACUACACAACUUGGAAUGGGUGGUCCACAGUUUGUAGCACUAGACCCAGGCACAUGCACCACAAUUGACAUCCACACUACCUUAUUGCCCCCGCUCGGGUUACAAGCAAUCGCUACUUGCUCAACGAGUGAGGGGGUUCAAGACUACCUAUUUAAGGUGGUGUUGUACUCUAUGAGCCGGCGGUGUGGUAUUUACCAACUACAAAUAGUGUCAUGCAUGUGACUUGCUAGUUGACAAUGUCUGUUGUCAAGCUAGGUGUGGGCUAUGGAUGAAGCACAUUAGGAUAUAGUAGGCCUAUUUUGUUUUUUGUUGUUUUUGGGCCACUAUGGACUUUAUGUUGAUGUUGUGAAUUUUUUUUCUUGUGUUUCCUCUUCCUACGAUGUGGAAAGUGGGUGCGUCAGAGAAGAAAGAAAGAGUGGCUAGCAUUGAUUUUACGUCAUACCAUUGAGAACACUAAUCAGAAGCAGAAGCAACAAUAUUUCAUACAUAUACAACACUUGUAAUCCAUAUAAACAACAUUCCUUUAAAAUAUAAUAUAAACCACAUGAUUUAUAUCCUGGGUCAGCUAUCUCCACAAAGGGCAAGAAAACGCUCCAAGUUUGUAGUAUAGCACUAAAAGUGUCGAUUCUCACGAUUUCUUCCCGACAUAUACAAACUAGACAGUAAUCACAUAAAAUAAAGAAAUAUGUGUUAACACGAACUUAUAGCAUGUAUUUCAACAUAUAGAUUGUUGAUUAUUAUGGUAGAUUAUAUAAAAUAGGGGUUCCCGAAGAAAUACAUAAAAACAAGAGCAUUAAAAUUUCCUUUUCAGAUCUGGCUAACUGGUAAAGGGAGUUGGAGUAUCUGAGUUUCCAAAUUUGGGACGUCGCUCUAUAGAAGGAAUAUAAAUACAUUGGAAAAAAUUCUACAAGGAAAGGUUUAAUACAAGUAGCGCUAAGAAAAACUCAAUGAGGCUUUGGUCGCUUGGUCACAAAACUUGAGACAAGAAACACGAAGACACCAAGGUAAUUAGUAUGAGAGUUUUCCAAAUUUGGUGUCUUGAUGUAGAAAAAAUAAAUAUAUGACAAACUUGUUUUUUCGUAAGGCAUGGAUAAAUAAGUGGGGGUGAGCAAUAAAUUUCAUCCUAGAUUUAGAAGGAAUAAAUAUAUCACUAAAUAGGUUUUUUCACAAUGCCAAGUUAAUCAGGUGGGAGCGAGAAACAAUUCUAGCGAGGCUAGGUUGUACUAGCCCAAAACUACAUACAACAGAGGAAAAAUGAAGAAAAUGAUGGUCUACCAAAUAUGGCGCAUGAGCCUUAAGGUGCACCUAGAGGGAAGUAGAAGAAAUAAAUAUAUAAUGGCAUAUGUUUAUCGCAAUGCAAGGUAAAGUGUAGAUGUGCUCUAACUGGGCUUAGAUUGCAGCGACACAUUAUGCAUCUACAAGGCUUGGUUGCACAUGGAAAAAGAUAGAGAGAGAAAUGUAGAUGCAGGACCGGGUGAAAAACAUUCAAUGAGACGUGAUUGCACGGACAUAGAACUAGAUAUAAGACAAGAGUUAAAGAAAAAUAAAGGAACUAAAUUUUCUUCUGCACACUAAGCAUGAAUGGAGUUGUAGUAUCUGAGAUCAAAAUUUAAUUUAUUCCAAGAUGCAGAACAAAAAUGUGAUACUCGUAAUGGUUACAUAGGAGCAAAAGUAGAUAAGAAAAAUAGCAAAAAGAUAGUGGUCUACCAGAGAGGGCACAUGUGCCUCAAUUGUCUUAUAGCAUAGCGACUCAUUAUCCUUCCACCGCUGGUGGCGGGCGGUACUCGCUGCUCUGUGAAGCCAGCCUCACGCAAUGUCCGCCACUUUAGGUGUUGGGAUGCAAAGACUUUCGCCAAGGCAUCCGAAACCCACUACACAACUUGGAAUGGGUGGUCCACUGUUUGUAGCACUAGACCCAGGCACAUGCACCACAAUUGACAUCCACACUACCUUAUUGCCCCGCUCGGGUUACAAGCAAUCGCUACUUGCUCAGCGAGUGAGGGGGUUCAAGACUACCUAUUUAAGGUGGUGUUGUACUCUAUGAGCCGGCGGUGUGGUAUUUACCAACUACAAAUAGUGUCAUGCAUGUGACUUGCUAGUUGACAAUGUCUGUUGUCAAGCUAGGUGUGGGCUAUGGAUGAAGCACAUUAGGAUAUAGUAGGCCUAUUUUGUUUUUUGUUGUUUUUGGGCCACUAUGGACUUUAUGUUGAUGUUGUGAAAUUUUUUUCUUGUGUUUCCUCUUCCUACGAUGUGGAAAGUGGGUGCGUCAGAGAAGAAAGAAAGAGUGGCUAGCAUUGAUUUUACGUCAUACCAUUGAGAACACUAAUCAGAAGCAGAAGCAACAAUAUUUCAUACAUAUACAACACUUGUAAUCCAUAUAAACAACAUUCCUUUAAAAUAUAAUAUAAACCACAUGAUUUAUAUCCUGGGUCGGCUAUCUCCACAAAGGGCAAGAAAACGCUCCAAGUUUGUAGUAUAGCACUAAAAGUGUCGAUUCUCACGAUUUCUUCCCGACAUAUACAAACUAGACAGUAAUCACAUAAAAUAAAGAAAUAUGUGUUAACACGAACUUAUAGCAUGUAUUUCAACAUAUAGAUUUUUGAUUAUUAUGGUAGAUUAUAUAAAAUAGGGGUUCCCGAAGAAAUACAUAAAAACAAGAGCAUUAAAAUUUCCUUUUCAGAUCUGGCUAUCUGGUAAAAGGAGUUGGAGUAACUGAGUUUCCAAAUUUGUGACGUAGCUCUAUAGAAGGAAUAUAAAUACGUUGGAAAAAUUCUAUAAGGAAAGGUUUAAUACAAGUAGGGCUAAGAAAAACUCAAUGAGGCUUUGGUCGCAUGGUCACAAAACUUGAGACAAGAAACACGAAGACACCAAGGUAAUUAGUAUGAGAGUUUUCCAAAUUUGGUGUCUUGAUGUAGAAAAAAUAAAUAUAUGACAAAUUUGUUUUUUCGCAAGGCAUGGAUAAAUAAGUGGGGGUGAGCAAUAAAUUUCAUCCUAGAUUUAGAAGGAAUAAAUAUAUCACUAAAUACAUUUUUUCACAAUGCCAAAUUAAUCAGGUGGGAGCGAGAAACAAUUGUAGCGAGGCUAGGUUGUACUAGCCCAAAACUACAUACAACAGAGGAAAAAUGAAGAAAAUGAUGGUCUACCAAAUAUGGCGCAUGAGCCUUAAGGUGCACCUAGAGGGAAGUAGAAGAAAUAAAUAUAUAAUAGCAUAUGUUUUUCGCAAUGCAUGGUAAAGUGUAGAUGUGCUCUAACUGGGCUUAGAUUGCAGCGACACAUUAUGCAUCUACAAGGCUUGGUUGCACAUGGAAAAAGAUACAAAAAGAAAUGUAGACGCAGGACCGGGAGAAAAACAUUCAAUGAGACGUGAUUGCACGGACAUAGAACUAGAUAUAAGACAAGAGUUAAAGAAAAAUAAAGGAACUAAAUUUUCUUCUGCACACUAAGCAUGAAUGGAGUUGUAGUAUCUGAGAUCAAAAUUUAAUUUAUUCCAAGAUGCAGAACAAAAAUUUGAUACUCGUAAUGGUUACAUAGGAGCAAAAGUAGAUAAGAAAAAUAGCAAAAAGAUAGUGGUCUACCAGAGAGGGCACAUGUGCCUCAAUUGGCCUAUAGCAUAGCGACUCAUUAUCCUUCCACCGCUGGUGGCGGGCGGUACUCGCUGCUCUGUGAAGCCAGCCUCACACAAUGUCCGCCACUUUAGGUGUUGGGAUGCAAAGGCUUUCGCCAAGGCAUCCGAAACCCACUACACAACUUGGAAUGGGUGGUCCACUGUUUGUAGCACUAGACCCAGGCACAUGCACCACAAUUGACAUCCACACUACCUUAUUGCCCCGCUCGGGUUACAAGCAAUCGCUACUUGCUCAGCGAGUGAGGGGGUUCAAGACUACCUAUUUAAGGUGGUGUUGUACUCUAUGAGCCGGCGGUGUGGUAUUUACCAACUACAAAUAGUGUCAUGCAUGUGACUUGCUAGUUGACAAUGUCUGUUGUCAAGCUAGGUGUGGGCUAUGGAUGAAGCACAUUAGGAUAUAGUAGGCCUAUUUUGUUUUUUGUUGUUUUUGGGCCACUAUGGACUUUAUGUUGAUGUUGUGAAAUUUUUUUCUUGUGUUUCCUCUUCCUACGAUGUGGAAAGUGGGUGCGUCAGAGAAGAAAGAAAGAGUGGCUAGCAUUGAUUUUACGUCAUACCAUUGAGAACACUAAUCAGAAGCAGAAGCAACAAUAUUUCAUACAUAUACAACACUUGUAAUCCAUAUAAACAACAUUCCUUUAAAAUAUAAUAUAAACCACAUGAUUUAUAUCCUGGGUCGGCUAUCUCCACAAAGGGCAAGAAAACGCUCCAAGUUUGUAGUAUAGCACUAAAAGUGUCGAUUCUCACGAUUUCUUCCCGACAUAUACAAACUAGACAGUAAUCACAUAAAAUAAAGAAAUAUGUGUUAACACAAACUUAUAGCAUGUAUUUCAACAUAUAGAUUGUUGAUUAUUAUGGUAGAUUAUAUAAAAUAGGGGUUCCCGAAGAAAUACAUAAAAACAAGAGCAUUAAAAUUUCCUUUUCAGAUCUGGCUAUCUGGUAAAAGGAGUUGGAGUAACUGAGUUUCCAAAUUUGUGACGUAGCUCUAUAGAAGGAAUAUAAAUACGUUGGAAAAAUUCUAUAAGGAAAGGUUUAAUACAAGUAGGGCUAAGAAAAACUCAAUGAGGCUUUGGUCGCAUGGUCACAAAACUUGAGACAAGAAACACGAAGACACCAAGGUAAUUAGUAUGAGAGUUUUCCAAAUUUGGUGUCUUGAUGUAGAAAAAAUAAAUAUAUGACAAAUUUGUUUUUUCGCAAGGCAUGGAUAAAUAGGUGGGGGUGAGCAAUAAAUUUCAUCCUAGAUUUAGAAGGAAUAAAUAUAUCACUAAAUAUGUUUUUUCACAAUGCCAAGUUAAUCAGGUGGGAGCGAGAAACAAUUCUAGCGAGGCUAGGUUGUACUAGCCCAAAACUACAUACAACAGAGGAAAAAUGAAGAAAAUGAUGGUCUACCAAAUAUGGCGCAUGAGCCUUAAGGUGCACCUAGAGGGAAGUAGAAGAAAUAAAUAUAUAAUAGCAUAUAUUUUUCGCAAUGCAUGGUAAAGUGUAGAUGUGCUCUAACUGGGCUUAGAUUGCAGCGACACAUUAUGCAUCUACAAGGCUUGGUUGCACAUGGAAAAAGAUACAGAAAGAAAUGUAGACGCAGGACCGGGAGAAAAACAUUCAAUGAGACGUGAUUGCACAGACAUAGAACUAGAUAUAAGACAAGAGUUAAAGAAAAAUAAAGGAACUAAAUUUUCUUCUGCACACUAAGCAUGAAUGGAGUUGUAGUAUCUGAGAUCAAAAUUUAAUUUAUUCCAAGAUGCAGAACAAAAAUGUGAUACUCGUAAUGGUUACAUAGGAACAAAAGUAGUUAAGAAAAAUAGCAAAAAGAUAGUGGUCUACCAGAGAGGGCACAUGUGCCUCAAUUGGCCUAUAGCAUAGCGACUCAUUAUCCUUCCACCGCUGGUGGCGGGCGGUACUCGCUGCUCUGUGAAGCCAGCCUCACGCAAUGUCCGCCACUUUAGGUGUUGGGAUGCAAAGGCUUUCGCCAAGGCAUCCGAAACCCACUACACAACUUGGAAUGGGUGGUCCACAGUUUGUAGCACUAGACCCAGGCACAUGCACCACAAUUGACAUCCACACUACCUUAUUGCCCCCGCUCGGGUUACAAGCAAUCGCUACUUGCUCAGCGAGUGAGGGGGGGUCAAGACUACCUAUUUAAGGUGGUGUUGUACUCUAUGAGCAGGCGGUCUGGUAUUUACCAACUACAAAUAGUGUCAUGCAUGUGACUUGCUAGUUGACAAUGUCUGUUGUCGAGUUAGAUGUGGGCUAUGGAUGAAGCACAUUAGGAUAUAGUAGGCCUAUUUUGUUUUUUGUUGUUUUUGGGCCACUAUGGACUUUCUGUUGAUGUUGUGAAAUUUUUUCUUGUGUUUCCUCUUCCUACGAUGUGGAAAGUGGGUGCGUCAGAGAAGAAAGAAAGAGUGGCUAGCAUUGAUUUUACGUCAUACCAUUGAGAACACUAAUUAGAAGCAGAAGCAACAAUAUUUCAUACAUAUACAACACUUGUAAUCCAUAUAAACAACUUUCCUUUAAAAUAUAAUAUAAACCACAUGAUUUAUAUCCUGGGUCGGCUAUCUCUACAAAGGGCGAGAAAACGCUCCAAGUUUGUAGUAUAGAACUAAAAGUGUCGAUUCUCAUGAUUUUUCCGACAUAUACAAACUAGACAGUAAUCACAUAAAAUAAAGAAAUAUGUGUUAACACGAACUUAUAGCAUGUAUUUCAACAUACAUAUUGUUGAUUAUUAUGGUAGAUUAUAUAAAAUAGGGGUUCCCGAAGAAAUACAUAAAAACAAGAGCAUUAAAAUUUCCUUUUUAGAUCUGGCUAUCUGGUAAAAGGAGUUGGAGUAACUGAGUUUCCAAAUUUGUGACGUAGCUCUAUAGAAGGAAUAUAAAUACGUUGCAAAAAUUCUACAAGGAAAGGUUAAUACAAGUAGGGCUAAGAAAAACUCAAUUAGGCUUUGGUCGCAUGGUCACAAAACUUGAGACAAGAAACACGAAGACACCAAGGUAAUUAGUAUGAGAGUUUUCGAAAUUUGGUGUCUUGAUGUAGAAAAAAUAAAUAUAUGACAAACUUGUUUUUUCUCAAGGCAUGGAUUGAGAGCACCUAGAGGGGGGGGUGAAUAGGUGAUCCUGUGAAACUUGAAAACUUAAGCCACAAAACUUGGUUAAUCGUUAGCACAAUAAUUGCCAAGUGGCUAAAUAGGAAUCCUCAACAAAAUACAAUAACCAACAAAGAUCAAUCACAGAGAUGACACGGUGGUUAUCCCAUGGUUCGGCCAAGACCAACGCUUGCCUACUCCAUGUUGUGGCGUCCCAACGGACGAGGGUUGCAAUCAACCCCUCUCAAGCGGUCCAAAGACCCACUUGAAUACCACGGUGUUUUGCUUUGCUUAUCUUUAUCCCACUUGCGAGGAAUCUCCACAAAUUGGAGUCUCUCGCCCUUACACUUAAAGUUCACAAAGAAGCACGGAGUAAGGGAGGGAAGCAACACACACAAAUCCACAGCAAAAUGCGCACACACACGGCCAAGAAUCGAGCUCAAAAGACUAUCUCAAAGUUCUCACUAGAACGGAGCUCGAAUCACUGAGAAUGACAAACGAAUGCGCAAAGACUGAGUGUGGAUGAUCAAGAAUGCUCUAAGGUUGCUUGGUUUUUCUCCUCCAUGCGCCUAGGGGUCCCUUUUAUAGCCCCAAGGCGGCUAGGAGCCGUUGAGAACAAAUCUGGAAGGCCAUCCUUGCCUUCUGUCGUCGGGCGCACCGGACAGUCCGGUGCACACCGGACACUGUCCGGUGCCCGAUUUCCUUCCUUAAAUGGCGAAGCCGACCGUUGCAGAUGUGGGAGCCGUUGGCGCACCGGACAUGUCCGGUGCACACCGGACAGUCCGGUGCCCCCUUCCGACCGUUGGCUCGGCCACGUGUCGCGCGCGGAUUCCGUGGCCGACCGUUGGCCCGGCCGACCGUUGGCUCACCGGACAGUCCGGUGCACACCGGACAGUCCGGUGAAUUUUAGGCGUACGUCGCCGGUGAAUUCCCGAGAGCGGCCAGUUCGCUCGAGCCAGCCUGGCGCACCGGACACAGUCCGGUGCACCACCGGACAGUCCGGUGCCCCAGACCGAAACAGCCUCUUGGCUGUACACAGCCAACUCUUCUCUUUCCUUCUUCUUUUUGUUUCUGAUACUUAGACAAGUAUAUUAGUACACAAAACCAAUGUACUAAGACUUAGAAACAUACCUUUGCUCUUGAUUUGCACUUUGUCCAUUCAUGGGCAUAGAUUUACAUUUAAUUACUUGUGUUGGCACUCAAUCACCAAAAUACUUAGAAAUGGCCCAAGGGCACAUUUCCCUUUCAAUCUCCCCCUUUUUGGUGAUUUAUGCCAACACAACAUAAAGCAACUAGAACAAGUGCAAUAUUACUUCAAAUAAAAACUCAAAUUCAUUUUGAUUCAAUUUGGCAUAUAUGGAUCAUCCUUUGCCACCACUUGGUUUGUUUUUGCAAAUCAAACUCAAAAUCCUAUCUCUAAGUCAAAUCCACUUGUAGAGACAUAAAGAGAGGUUUUCCAUAGAAGAUUGAUUCAAGAUUCCAAAAACUCCCCCUUUUUCCCAUAAUCAACACUUCACCCCACAAGAGGCCAACUUUUGAUAAAAGAGACAAUGCAAGAGUAUUGACAAACCAAAAGCUCUAUCCUACUGUUUUCAAAGUUUCUCAAGUGGUAGCUGAUCCAUUUAUUGCUUUGGCCUUUAUUUUCUCCCCCUUUGGCGUCAAGCACCAAAACGGGAUCAAUCUUGGCCCUUUAACCCCAUUGCCUCACCAAAAUCUUCAAUUAAGAGCAAAUAGGCAAUAAGAGUUAAAAGAUGAACUUGGAAAAGUUACUCUUUUCAUCGGAGUGCAGUGGAAGUCUUGCAUGGUCCAAGUCCACCUUUUCCCUUUUAAUUCUCCUUCGAGACUAAAACAAGCAAACUCAAGCAUAUGGUUAGUCUCAAAGGGUCAAGUUGUAACACAUCUCCCCCUAAAACUGUGCAUCACUUUGCAACGGACUUGUGAGGUCCAGGGAGUGUUUGUACAACUUGAGCACCAUACUAAACAACAAAAUGCAAAAAGGAUCAUGAUCAAAAGCAUAAAUACAUGUAUGCUACAAUUCAAUCCAAGUUCCGCGAAUCUACGACAUUUAGCUCACUACGCAGCCUGCAAAAGGUCUUCUCAUCUAGAGGCUUGGUAAAGAUAUCGGCUAGCUGGUUCUCGGUGCUAACAUGAAACACUUCGAUAUCUCCCUUUUGCUGGUGAUCUCUCAAAAAGUGAUGCCGGAUGUCAAUGUGCUUUGUGCGGCUGUGUUCAACAGGAUUUUCCGCCAUGCGGAUAGCACUCUCAUUGUCACAUAGGAGUGGGACUUUGCUCAGAUUGUAGCCAAAGUCCCUGAGGGUUUGCCUCAUCCAAAGUAGUUGCGCGCAACACUGUCCUGCGGCAACAUACUCGGCCUCAGCGGUGGAUAGGGCAACGGAGGUUUGUUUCUUAGAGUUCCACGACACCAGGGACCUUCCUAAGAAUUGGCACGUCCCUGAUGUACUCUUCCUAUCGACCUUACAUCCAGCAUAGUCGGAAUCUGAGUUUCCAACCAAGUCAAAGGUAGACCCCUUUGGAUACCAGAGCCCGAAGCAAGGCGUAGCAACCAAAUAUCUAAGAAUUCGCUUCACCGCCACUAAGUGACACUCCUUAGGAUUGGAUUGAAAUCUAGCACACAUGCAUACGCUAAGCAUAAUAUCCGGUCUACUAGCACAUAAAUAAAGUAAAGACCCUAUCAUUGACCGGUAUGCUUUUUGAUCAACGGACUUACCUCCUUUGUUGAGGUCGGUGUGUCCGUCGGUCCCCAUCGGAGUCUUUGCGGGCUUGGCGUCCUUCAUCCCAAACCGCUUCAGCAGGUCUUGCGUGUACUUUGUUUGGGAGAUGAAGGUGCCGUCCUUGAGUUGCUUCACUUGAAACCCAAGGAAGUAGUUCAACUCGCCCAUCAUCGACAUCUCGAAUUUCUGCAUCAUAACCCUGCUAAACUCUUCACAAGACUUUUGGUUAGUAGAACCAAAUAUUAUGUCAUCGACAUAAAUUUGGCACACAAACAAAUCACCAUCACAUGUCUUAGUAAAAAGAGUUGGAUCGGCUUUCCCAACCUUGAAGGCAUUUGCAAUUAAAAAGUCUUUAAGGCAUUCAUACCAUGCUCUUGGGGCUUGCUUAAGUCCAUAGAGCGCCUUAGAGAGCUUACACACGUGGUCGGGGUACCGUUCAUCCUCGAAGCCAGGGGGUUGCUCUACGUACACCUCCUCCUUGAUUGGCCCGUUGAGGAAAGCGCUCUUCACAUCCAUUUGGAACAACCUGAAAGAAUGGUGAGCGACAUAUGCUAGCAAGAUACGAAUUGAUUCUAGCCUAGCCACAGGAGCAAACGUCUCCUCAAAGUCCAAACCUGCGACUUGGGCAUAACCUUUUGCCACAAGUCGAGCCUUGUUCCUCGUCACCACCCCGUGCUCGUCCUGUUUGUUGCGGAAUACCCACUUGGUUCCCACAACGUUUUGCUUGGGACGAGGCACCAGUGUCCAAACUUCAUUUCGCUUGAAGUUGUUGAGUUCCUCCUGCAUGGCUAACACCCAGUCCGGAUCUAGCAAGGCCUCUUCUACCCUGAAAGGCUCAAUAGAAGAGACAAAGGAGUAAUGCUCACAAAAAUUAACUAAUCGAGAUCGAGUAGUUACUCCCUUGCUAAUAUCACCCAGAAUUUGGUCGACGGGAUGAUCCCUUUGAAUCAUCGCUCGAACUUGGGUUGGAGGUGCCGGUUGUGCUUCUUCCUCCAUCACAUGAUCAUCUUGUGCUCCCCAUUGAUCACACUCCUCUUGAUGAACCUGUUCAUCGUUUUGAGUUGGGGGAUGCAUCAUUGUUGAGGAAGAAGGUUGAUCUUGCUCCAAUUGUUCCUGUGGUCGCACAUCACCAAUCGCCAUGGUGCGCAUAGCGGCCGUUGGAACGUCUUCUUCAUCUAAAUCAUCAAGAUCAACAACUUGCUCUCUUGGAGAGCCAUUAGUCUCAUCAAAUACAACGUCGCUAGAGACUUCAACCAAACCCGAUGAUUUGUUGAAGACUCUAUACGCCUUUGUAUUUGACUCAUAACCUAACAAAAACCCUUCUACAGCUUUGGGAGCAAACUUAGAAUUUCUACCCUUCUUUACUAGAAUGUAGCACUUGCUCCCAAAUACACGAAAGUAAGAUACAUUGGGUUUGUUACCGGUUAGUAGCUCAUACGAAGUCUUCUUGAGGAGGCGAUGAAGGUAGACCCUGUUGAUGGCGUGGCAAGCCAUGUUCACGGCUUCCGACUAGAAACACUCGGGGGUCUUGAAUUCUCCAAGCAUCGUCCUCGCCAUAUCGAUUAGUGUCCUGUUCUUCCUCUCUACCACACCAUUUUGCUGUGGUGUGUAGGGAGCGGAGAACUCGUGCUUGAUCCCUUCCUCCUCAAGGAACUCCUCCACUUGAAGAUUCUUGAAAUCGGACCCGUUGUCGCUCCUUAUCUUCUUCACCUUGAGCUCAAACUCAUUUUGAGCUCUCCUAAGGAAGCGCUUGAGGGUCCCUUGGGUUUCAGACUUAUCCUGCAAAAAGAACACCCAAGUGAAGCGGGAAAAGUCAUCGACAAUAACUAGACCAUACUUACUUCCCCCUAUGCUCAGAUAGGCGACGGGUCCGAAGAGGUCCAUAUGCAGCAGCUCCAGGGGUCUUGAAGUGGUCAUCACAUUCUUGCUGUGAUGCGCUCCUCCCACUUGUUUACCUGCUUGACAAGCUGCACAAGGUCUAUCUUUUUCGAAUUGUACGUUAGUCAAACCUAUCACGUGUUCUCCCUUUAGAAGCUUGUGAAGGUUCUUCAUCCCCACAUGUGCUAAGCGGCGAUGCCACAGCCAGCCCAUGCUAGUCUUAGCAAUUAAGCAUGCAUCUAGACCGGCCUCUUCUUUUGCAAAAUCAACUAAGUAAAGCUUGCCGUCUAAUACACCCUUAAAAGCUAGUGAACCAUCACUUCUUCUAAAGACAGACACAUCUACAUUUGUAAAUAGACAGUUAUAUCCCAUAUUGCAUAAUUGACUAACAGAUAACAAAUUAUAUCCAAGAGACUCUACUAAAAACACAUUAGAGAUAGAGUGCUCAUUAGAAAUUGCAAUUUUACCUAACCCUUUUACCUUGCCUUGAUUCCCAUCACCGAAUAUAAUUGAAUCUUGGGAAUCCUUAUUCUUGACGUAGGAGGUGAACAUCUUCUUCUCCCCCGUCAUAUGGUUUGUGCAUCCGCUGUCGAUAAUCCAGCUUGAACCCCCGGAUGCAUAAACCUGCAAGGCAAAUUUAGGCUUGGGACUUAGGUACCCAACUCUUGUUGGGUCCUACAAGGUUAGUCACAAUUUCCUUAGGGAUCCAAAUGCAAGUUUUAUCACCCUUGCAUUUUGCCCCUAACUUCCUAGCAAUCACCUUUCUAUCCUUUCUACAAAUUGCAAAGGAAGCAUUCAAAGCAUGAUAUAUUGUAGAAGGCUCAUUAACUUUCCUAGGCACAUUAACAACAUUUCUCCUAGGCAUAUUAUGAACAACAUUUCUCCUACCAACGUUCCUAUCAUGCUCAUAGAAAGAACUAGAAGCAACCAUGUCAUGAUAAACAUAUGAAUCAAAAACAUUAUAACUUCUAUUUGCAUUUCUAGUAUGUCUCCUAUCAUGAUACAUAAAAGCAUGGUUCUUUUUAGCACUACCAGCCAUAGGGGCCUUCCCUUUCUCCUUGGCGGAAAUGGGAGCCUUAUGGCUUGUUAAGUUCUUGGCUUCCCUCUUGAAGCCAAGUCCAUCCUUAAUUGAGGGAUGUCUACCAAUCGUAUAGGCAUCCCUUGCAAAUUUUAAUUUAUCAAAUUCGCUUUUGCUAGUCUUAAGUUGGGCAUUAAGACUAGCCACUUCAUCAUUCAAUUUAGAAAUUGAAACUAGGUGUUCACUACAAGCAUCAACAUUAAAAUCUUUACACCUAGUGCAAACCAUAACAUGUUCUACACAAGAGUUAGAUUUACUAGCCACUUCUAGUUUAGCAUUUAAAUCAUUAUUAACACCUUUUAAAGUAGCAAUGGUUUCAUGACAAGAAGAUAAUUCACUAGAAAGCACUUCAUUUCUUUUAACUUCUAAAGCAUAAGAUUUUUGUGCCUCUACAAAUUUGUCAUGCUCUUCAUAUAAAAGAUCCUCUUGUUUUUCUAAGAGUCUAUCCUUUUCAUUCAAGGCAUCAAUCAAUUCAUUAAUCUUUUCUACUUUAGUUCUAUCCAAUCCCUUGAACAAACUAGAGUAAUCUAUUUCUUCAUCACUGGACUCAUCAUCACUAGAAGAAUCAUAAGUGACAUUGUUUUGAUUGCAUACCUUCUUCUCCCUUGCCAUAAGGCAUGUGUGACGCUCGUUGGGGAAGAGGGAUGACUUGUUGAAGGCGGUGGCGGCGAGUCCUUCAUUGUCGGAGUCGGAGGAGAAGCAAUCUGAAUCCCACUCCUUUCCGAUAUGUGCCUCGCCCUUGGCCUUCUUGUAAUGCUUCUUCUUCUCCCUUUUGUUCCCCUUUUCCUGGUCACUUUCAUUAUCGGGACAGUUAGCAAUGAAAUGACCAAUCUUACCGCAUUUGAAGCACGAGCGCUUCUCCUUUGUCUUGGUCUUGCUUGGCUGUCCCUUGCGACCUUUAAGCGCCGUCUUGAAGCGCUUAAUGAUGAGGGCCAUCUCCUCAUUAUUUAGCCCGGCCGCCUCAACUUGCGCCACCUUGCUCGGUAGCGCCUCCUUGCUCCUCGUUGCCUUGAGAGCAAUGGGUUGAGGCUCAUGAAUAGGACCGUUCAACGCGUCGUCCACAUAUCUUGCCUCCUUGAUCAUCAUUCGCCCGCUUACGAACUUCCCCAGAACUUCUUCGGGCGACAUCUUGGUGUACCUAGGAUUUUCACGAAUAUUGUUCACCAAAUGAGGAUCAAGAACGGUAAAGGACCUUAGCAUUAGGCGGACGACGUCGUGAUCCGUCCAUCGCGUGCUUCCGUAGCUCCUUAUUUUGUUGAUAAGGGUCUUGAGCCGGUUGUAUGUUUGAGUUGGCUCCUCGCCCCUUAUCAUUGCGAACCGUCCAAGCUCGCCCUCCACCAACUCCAUCUUGGUGAGUAAGGUGACAUCGUUCCCCUCAUGAGAGAUCUUGAGGGUGUCCCAGAUCUGCUUGGCAUUGUCCAAGCCGCUCACCUUAUGGUACUCGUCCCUGCACAAAGAGGCUAGCAACACAGUAGUAGCUUGUGCAUUUUUAUGAAUCUGUUCAUUAAUAAACAUGGGACUAUCCGUACUAUCAAAGUGCAUUCCACUUUCUACAAUCUCCCAUAUGCUAGGAUGGAGAGAGAACAAGUGACUACGCAUUUUGUGACUCCAAAAUCCGUAGUCCUCUCCAUCAAAAUGAGGAGGUUUACUAAGUGGAAUAGAUAAUAACUGAGCAUUAGUACUUUGAGGAAUACGAGAGUAAUCAAAAGAAAAGUACGAAUUGACCGGUUUCUUUCUCUCGUAUUCGUUGUGGUCGUCGUCCUUUUGGGAGGAAGUAGACUCAUCGCUGUCGUAGUAGACGAUCUCCUUGAUGUGUCUUGUCUUCUUCUUCUUCCCAUCUUUGCGUCUGUGGCCCGAGCCCGAGUCGUUGGACUUGUCAUCCCUUGGCUCGUUGACGAAGGACUCCUUCUCCUUGUCGUUGAUCACGAUUCCCUUCCCUUUAGGAUCCAUCUCUUCGGGCGGUUAGUCCCUUUGUGAAGAGAACGGCUCUGAUACCAAUUGAGAGCACCUAGAGGGGGGGUGAAUAGGUGAUCCUGUGAAACUUGAAAACUUAAGCCACAAAACUUGGUUAAUCGUUAGCACAAUAAUUGCCAAGUGGCUAAAUAGGAAUCCUCAACAAAAUACAAUAACCAACAAAGAUCAAUCACAGAGAUGACACGGUGGUUAUCCCGUGGUUCGGCCAAGACCAACGCUUGCCUACUCCACGUUGUGGCGUCCCAACGGACGAGGGUUGCAAUCAACCCCUCUCAAGCGGUCCAAAGACCCACUUGAAUACCACGGUGUUUUGCUUUGCUUAUCUUUAUCCCACUUGCGAGGAAUCUCCACAAAUUGGAGUCUCUCGCCCUUACACUUAAAGUUCACAAAGAAGCACGGAGUAAGGGAGGGAAGCAACACACACAAAUCCACAGCAAAAUGCGCACACACACGGCCAAGAAUCGAGCUCAAAAGACUAUCUCAAAGUUCUCACUAGAACGGAGCUCGAAUCACUGAGAAUGACAAACGAAUGCGCAAAGACUGAGUGUGGAUGAUCAAGAAUGCUCUAAGGUUGCUUGGUUUUUCUCCUCCAUGCGCCUAGGGGUCCCUUUUAUAGCCCCAAGGCGGCUAGGAGCCGUUGAGAACAAAUCUGGAAGGCCAUCCUUGCCUUCUGUCGUCGGGCGCACCGGACAGUCCGGUGCACACCGGACACUGUCCGGUGCCCGAUUUCCUUCCUUAAAUGGCGAAGCCGACCGUUGCAGAUGUGGGAGCCGUUGGCGCACCGGACAUGUCCGGUGCACACCAGACAGUCCGGUGCCCCCUUCCGACCGUUGGCUCGGCCACGUGUCGCGCGCGGAUUCCGCGGCCGACCGUUGGCCCGGCCGACCGUUGGCUCACCGGACAGUCCGGUGCACACCGGACAGUCCGGUGAAUUUUAGGCGUACGUCGCCGGUGAAUUCCCGAGAGCGGCCAGUUCGCUCGAGCCAGCAUGGCGCACCGGACACUGUCCGAUGCACCACCGGACAGUCCGGUGCCCCAGACCGAAACAGCCUCUUGGCUGUACACAGCCAACUCUUCUCUUUCCUUCUUCUUUCUGUUUCUGAUACUUAGACAAGUAUAUUAGUACACAAAACCAAUGUACUAAGACUUAGAAACAUACCUUUGCUCUUGAUUUGCACUUUGUCCAUUCAUGGGCAUAGAUUUACAUUUAAGCACUUGUGUUGGCACUCAAUCACCAAAAUACUUAGAAAUGGCCCAAGGGCACAUUUCCCUUUCAUGGAUAAAUAAGUGGGGGUGAGCAAUAAAUUUCAUCCUAGAUUUAGAAGGAAUAAAUAUAUCACUAAAUACGUUUUUUUUUACAAUGGCAAGUUAAUCAGGUGGGAGCGAGAAACAAUUCUAGCGAGGCUAGGUUGUACUAGCCCAAAAUUACAUACAACAGAGGAAAAAUGAAGAAAAUGAUGGUCUACCAAAUAUGGCGCAUGAGCCUUAAGGUGCACCUAGAGGGAAGUAGAAGAAUAAAUAUAUAAUAGCAUAUGUUUUUCGCAAUGCAAGGUAAAGUGUAGAUGUGCUCUAACUGGGCUUAGAUUGCAGCGACACAUUAUGCAUCUACAAGGCUUGGUUGCACAUGGAAAAAGAUAGAGAGAGAAAUGUAGACGCAGGACCGGGAGAAAACAUUCAAUGAGACGUGAUUGCACGGACAUAGAACUAGAUAUAAGACAAGAGUUAAAGAAAAAAAGGAACUAAAUUUUCUUGUGCACACUAAGCAUGAAUGGAGUUGUAGUAUCUGAGAUCAAAAUUUAAUUUAUUCCAAGAUGCAGAACAAAAACGUGAUAUUCGUAAUGGUUACAUAGGAACAAAAGUAGAUAAGAAAAAUAGCAAAAAGAUAGUGGUCUACCAGAGAGGGCACAUGUGCCUCAAUUGGCCUAUAGCAUAGUGGCUCAUUAUCCUUCCACCGCUGGUGGCGGGCGGUACUCGCUGCUCUGUGAAGCCAGCCUCACGCAAUGUCCGCCACUUUAGGUGUUGGGAUGCAAAGGCUUUCGCCAAGGCAUCCGAAACCCACUACACAACUUGGAAUGGGUGGUCCACAAUUUGUAGCACUAGACCCAUACACAUGCACCACAAUUGAUAUCCACACUACCUUAUUGCCCCCGCUCGGGUUACAAGCAAUCGCUACUUGCUCAGCGAGUGAGGGGGUUCAGGACUACCUAUUUAAGGUGGUGUUGUACUCUAUGAGCCGGCGAUGUGGUAUUUACCAACUACAAAUAGUGUCAUGCAUGUGACUUGCUAGUUGACAAAGUCUGUUGUCGAGCUAGAUGUAGGCUAUGGAUGAAGCACAUUACGAUAUAGUAGGCCUAUUUUGUUUUUUGUUGUUUUUGGGCCACUAUGGACUUUAUGUUGAUGUUGUGAAAUUUUUUCUUGUGUUUCCUCUUCCUACGAUGUCGAAAGUGGGUGCGUCAGAGAAGAAAGAAAGUGUGGGUUGCAUUGAUUUUACGUCAUACCAUUGAGAACACUAAUCAGAACCAGAAGCAACAAUAUUUCAUACAUAUACAACACUUGUAAUCCAUAUAAACAACUUUCCUUUAAAAUAUCAUAUAAACCACAUGAUUUAUAUCCUGGGUCGGUUAUCUCCACAAAGGGCAAGAAAACGCUCCAAGUUUGUAGUAUAGAACUAAAAGUGUCGACUCUCACGAUUUCUUCCCGACAUAUGCAAACUAGACAAUAAUCACAUAAAAUAAAGAAAUAUGUGUUAACACAAACUUAUAGCAUGUAUUUCAACAUAUAGAUUUUUUAUUAUUAUGGUAGAUUAUAUAAUAUAGGGGUUCCCGAAGAAAUACAUAAAAAACAAGAGCAUUAAAAUUUCCUUUUCAGAUCUGGCUAACUGGUAAAGGGAGUUGGAGUAUCUGAGUUUCCAAAUUUGGGACGUCGCUCUAUAGAAGGAAUAUAAAUACAUUGGAAAAAAAUUCUACAAGGAAAGGUUUAAUACAAGUAGGGCUAAGAAAAACUCAAUGAGGCUUUGGUCGCAUGGUCACAAGACUUGAGACAAGAAACACGAAGACACCAAGGUAAUUAGUAUGAGAGUUUUCCAAAUUUGGUGUCUUGAUGUAGAAAAAAUAAAUAUAUGACAAACAUGUAUUUUCGCAAGGCAUGGUAAAAUAAGUGGGAGUGAGCAAUAAAUUUCAUCCUAGAUUUAGAAGGAACAAAUAUAUCACUAAAUACAUUUUUUCACAAUGCCAAGUUAACCAGGCGGGACCGAGAAACAAUUCUAGCAAGGCUAGGUUGUACUAGUCCGAAACUACGUACAACAAAGGAAAAAUGAAGAAAAUGAUGGUCUACCAAAUAUGGCGCAUGAGCCUUAAGGUGCACCUAGAGGGAAGUAGAAGAAAUAAAUAUAUAAUAGGAUAUGUUUUUCGCAAUGCAAGGUAAAAUGUAGAUGUGCUCUAACUGGGCUUAGAUUGCAGCGAUACAUUAUGCAUCCACAAGGCUUGGUUGCACAUGGAAAAAGAUAGAGAGAGAAAUGUAGACGUAGGACCAGGAGAAAAACAUUCAAUGAUACAUUAUUGCACGGACAUAGAACUAGAUAUAAGACAAGAGUUAAAGAAACAUAAAGGAACUAAAUUUUCUUUUGCAUACUAAGCAUGAAUGGAGUUGUAGUAUCUGAUAUAAAAAAUUAAUUUAUUCCAAGAUGCAGAACAAAAUUGUGAUACUCGUAAUGGUUACAUAGGAACAAAAGUAGAUAAGAAAAAUAGCAAAACGAUAGUAGUCUACCAGAGAGGGCACAUGUGCCUCAAUUGGCCUAUAGCAUAGCGGCUCAUUAUCCUUCCACCGCUGGUGGCGUGCGGUACUCGCUGCUCUGUGAAGCCAGCCUCACGCAAUGUCUGCCACUUUAGGUGUUGGGAUGCAAAGGCUUUCGCCAAGGCACCCGAAACCCACUACACAACUUGGAAUGGGUGGUCCACAGUUUGUAGCACUAGACCUAGGCACAUGCACCACAAUUGACAUCCACACUACCUUAUUGCCCCCGCUCGGGUUACAAGCAAUCGCUACAUGCUCAGCGAGUGAGGGGGUUCAGGACUACCUAUUUAAGAUGGUGUUGUACUCUAUGAGCCGGCGGUGUGGUAUUUACCAACUACAAAUAGUGUCAUGCAUGUGACUUGCUAGUUGACAAAGUCUGUUGUCGAGCUAGAUAUGGGCUAUGGCUGAAGCACAUUAGGAUAUAGUAGGCCUAUUUUUGUUUUUGUUGUUUUUGGGCCACUAUGGACUUUAUGUUGGUGUUGUAAAAUUUUUUCUUGUGUUUCCUCUUCCUAUGAAGUGGAAAGUGGCUGCGUCAUAGAAGAAAGAAAGAGUGGCAAGCAUUGAUUUUACGUCAUCCCAUUGAGACCAGUAACCAAAAGCAGAAGCAACAAUAUUUCAUACAUAUACAACAAUUGUAAUCCAUAUAAACAACUUUCCUUUAAAAUAUAAUAUAAACCACAUGCUUUAUAUCCUGGGUCGGAUAUCCCCAUAAUAGGAUAUGUUUUUUGCAAUGCAAGGUAAAGUGUAGAUGUGCUCUAACUGGGCUUAGAUUGCAGCGACACGUUAUGCAUCCACAAGGCUUGGUUGCACAUGGAAAAAGAUAGAGAGAGAAAUGUAGACACAGGACGAGGAGAAAAACAUUCAACGAGACGUGAUUGCACGGAUAUAGAACUAGAUAUAAGACAAGAGUUAAAUACAAAUAAAUGAACUAAAUUUUCUUUUGCACACUAAGCUUGAAUGGAGUUGUAGUAUCUCAUAUCAAAAUUUAAUUUAUUCCAAGAUACAGAACAAAAAUGUGAUACUCCUAAUGGUUACAUAGGAACAAAAGUAGAUAAGAAAAUUAGCAAAAAGAUAGUGGUCUACCAGAGAGGGCACAUGUGCCUCAAUUGGCCUAUAGCAUAGCGGCUCAUUAUCCUUCCACCGCUGGUGGCGGGCGGUACUCGCUGCUCUGUGAAGCCAGCCUCACGCAGUGUCCGCCACUUUAGGUGUUGGGAUGCAAAGGCUUUCGCCAACGCACCCGAAACCCACUACACAAGUUGGAAUGGGUGGUCCACAGUUUGUAGCACUAGACCCAGGCACAUGCACCACAAUUGACAUCCACACUACCUUAUUGCCCCCGCUCGGGUUACAAGCAAUCGCUACU